AACGAACGCUGGCGGCAUGCCUAACACAUGCAAGUCGAACGAGACCUUCGGGUCUAGUGGCGCACGGGUGCGUAACGCGUGGGAACCUGCCCUUAGGUUCGGAAUAACUCCCCGAAAGGGGUGCUAAUACCGGAUAAUGUCUUCGGACCAAAGAUUUAUCGCCUUUGGAUGGGCCCGCGUUGGAUUAGCUAGUUGGUAGGGUAAAAGCCUACCAAGGCGACGAUCCAUAGCUGGUCUGAGGGGAUGAUCGGCCACACUGGGACUGAGACACGGCCCAGACUCCUACGGGAGGCAGCAGUGGGGAAUAUUGGACAAUGGGCGAAAGCCUGAUCCAGCAAUGCCGCGUGAGUGAUGAAGGCCUUAGGGUUGUAAAGCUCUUUUACCCGGGAUGAUAAUGACAGUACCGGGAGAAUAAGCUCCGGCUAACUCCGUG
rnacentral:rRNA from 1 species